rnacentral:rRNA from 1 species
CUGAGAGGACGACCAGCCACACCGGAACUGAGACACGGUCCGGACUCCUACGGGAGGCAGCAGUGGGGAAUAUUGGACAAUGGGGGAAACCCUGAUCCAGCGACGCCGCGUGUGUGAAGAAGGCCUGCGGGUUGUAAAGCACUUUUAGUGGGGACAAAAAGCUACGGAUUAAUACUCUGUGGUCUUGAUUUAACCUACAGAAAAAGCACCGGCUAACUCUGUGCCAGCAGCCGCGGUAAUACAGAGGGUGCGAGCGUUAAUCGGAAUUACUGGGCGUAAAGCGCGCGUAGACGGUUUUGUAAGUCGGAUGUGAAAUCCCCGGGCUCAACCUGGGAACUGCGUUCGAAACUGCAUGGCUAGAGUACGGUAGAGGGAAGCGGAAUUUCCGGUGUAGCGGUGAAAUGCGUAGAUAUCGGAAGGAACACCAGUGGCGAAAGCGGCUUCCUGGACCAGUACUGACGUUCAUGUGCGAAAGCGUGGGGAGCAAACAGGAUUAGAUACCCUGGUAGUCCACGCCAUAAACGAUGACAACUAGAUGUUGGGAGGGUCUGCCUCUCGGUGUCGCAGCUAACGCGUUAAGUUGUCCGCCUGGGGAGUACGGCCGCAA